rnacentral:rRNA from 1 species
UACGUAGGGUGCGAGCGUUAAUCGGAAUUACUGGGCGUAAAGCGUGCGCAGGCGGUCUGUUAGGACCGAUGUGAAAUCCCCGGGCUUAACCUGGGAACUGCAUUGGUGACUGGCAGGCUUUGAGUGUGGCAGAGGGAGGUAGAAUUCCACGUGUAGCAGUGAAAUGCGUAGAGAUGUGGAGGAAUACCGAUGGCGAAGGCAGCCUCCUGGGCCAACACUGACGCUCAUGCACGAAAGCGUGGGGAGCAAACAGG